rnacentral:lncRNA from 1 species
GAUUUGGAGUUGAUAUGACUUUGUAAGAGCUUUGCAAAGUUGAGGUUUGUUUCGGAUGAUUUGGAUUUUAUGAAAUAAAAUAGGGUUUACGUUUUGGAUGAUUUCAAGAGUUUUGUAGUAGAUCUAAGUGUGAAAUUUUGUGGGUUUAUGGUUAUAUUUGUGUUUAAUAUGUAUCAUGAAUUUGAGCUUGAUCUAACGGUUGAAUUGAGGGAUAUUGAGGUUUAAGAGUGUCAAGAUCUUAGAAAGUAGAAUUUUAGGUCUAGCGGGGGUUUUUGAGAUUUCUUGGAAUCUAUUAGUUGGAUUGGAGUGAAACUUAUGUGAGAGGAUAUUAGACUUGUUUUUCUAUACGUAUGAGAAUUUUGAAAUCAAUUGAAAGGUGCAAAGGAGAGAUAUUGGUUGUGGAAGAUUGGCAUUAAGAUUGGAGAAGGAGGCCGGCCAAUACCCAAGCACAUUUUUGAGGAUAUCGUCAAUUUGGUAACUCCGAUCCUUAUCAAAUUUUUUGUAUUUGUUUUUAACUUAUUGUUUUAGAAGUAUGCAAAUUUUUAGUUAAGAUCAACGGUUUAUUCAUUAGUUAUUGAGGUUUAAAUCUGUUGUAGGAAUGAUUAGAGUUUGGUUGGGGAUUAAUAUUUGAUUAGGGUUUGAUUUAGGGUUUAGGGUUUGGUUUAGGAUUUAGGGUUUGGAUUAGGAUUUGGUUUAGGAUUUAGGAUUUAGAUAGGAUUUAGUUUUGGAUUUAGGAUUUGGAUUAGGAUUUGGUUAGGGAUUAAGGUUUGAUUAGGAUUUGAUUUAGGAUUUAGGGUUUGUCUAGGAUUUGAUUAAGGUUGGAUUAGGAUUAGGAUUUGGUUAGAAUUUAAGGUUCUAUUAGAUUUUUGUUAGGAUUUGACUAAGUUUCCUUUAAUAUUCUUUUAUAUUUCUUUAGGAUUUUCUUGUGUUUCUUUUAUAACUUCAAUAAAAUUUAAUUGAGCUUGCUUAAUGCUUGAUUAUGAUUGCUAACGUUUAAUUAUAAAUUCUCUAUAAUCCUAUUGGAUUGUUAGGAUUCUUUGUUGCAAUUUUCUUUUAUCUUCCAUAACCAAGUGCUCGGUGCAUUCUCAAUCAAGAUUUCACGUAAUACGACAACAGAUUAGCAAACAACAUUGUGUUGGAUCGUUGGCCACAAUUUGUAUCAAGAUUUGGGAAGGCACUUUUGAACGUACUUAAGGUUGAGAUCAACCUUUCCUCUUUCUUCCAUCUUCAAAUUGAUGGCCAAACGGAGUGGGUCAACCAAAUUCUUAUACA